rnacentral:rRNA from 1 species
CACCGCCCGUCACACCAUGGAAGCCAGCUGUACCGGAAGUCGGCGCGCCAACCCGCAAGGGAAGUAGCCGCCUAUGGUAUGACUGGUGACUGGGGUG